rnacentral:rRNA from 1 species
UACGUAGGGUGCGAGCGUUAAUCGGAAUUACUGGGCGUAAAGUGUGCGCAGGCGGCUUCGCAAGUCGAGUGUGAAAUCCCCGAGCUUAACUUGGGAAUUGCGCUCGAAACUACGGAGCUGGAGUGUGGCAGAGGAAGGUGGAACUCCACGUGUAGCGGUGAAAUGCGUAGAGAUGUGGAGGAACACCGAUGGCGAAGGCAGCCUUCUGGGCCAACACUGACGCUCAUGCACGAAAGCGUGGGGAGCAAACAGG